GUAGCCUAGUGGUCAUGGUUUCUGACUCGCGUUCGUCGGGUCGUAGGUUCGAGUCCUAACGCCA